rnacentral:tRNA from 2 species
GCCUAAGUGGCGAAACUGGCAUACGCAGCAGACUCAAGAUCUGCCGGUAGCAAUACCGUGGGGGUUCGAGUCCCUUCUUAGGCACCA